UUGCAGUGAAUCUGCAUUAAACAACAGGAAUACUACUUAUCCAAUCAAGUGAUAUCUAAGAUAGCUUCCUUUUAAUUUUAAAAAUAUAUUUAAAUACUGCUAUUUGGUAUAUAAGGAAAACAUGUUUUUGGCAGGGAUACCUAGGUACACAUGAAAAGGGCUGAAAUAUCUAUGCUGCAUAUAUAAACAGAUAAGAUUAUGCCUAGAAGGCAUUUGGGGAACAUCUGUCAAUUUUUUAUGGAAUGCACUGAUUGUGGGCUAUUGAUUGCAUUUAACAAAGUUGUUGCAAAAAAAAAAAAUCAGCUAACAAUUUGUGUUGAAAGGGCUGAUCAAUAUUUAAAUGACUCACUUUAUUGAUUUAAAAUUAACUUUCAAUUAAGAGAUCCAUAGGACUCUUAACUGCGACACUUAUCCAUUCAAGAGAAAAUAAAGGUACAUUUAUCGAUACACUUAAACAGCAGUGGCUGGUUUCCUAUUGAUUCAGUCAUUUGCGCUGGGAUUCGUUAGCGUCAUCAGACUUUAACUCGCUUACUAGGUCUUCACAGUGUAUAAUACUGCAAGAUGCAGGAAUGUACAAAAUGACACAAAGGAAGUAUAUGAAAAACUAAACCGAGUUAAAAGAUGUAUGUAAAGCAUCAUGGCCCAGAACUGUCUGUUCAGUGAAAUGAAGCUGCCCCAAGUUGACCCAUUCAUUACGUAUUCAUUUGCUGUGAUGUAAUCUCUGGGAGGAAAAUGCAAGCUGUCUAAUUAUGUUAAACAUCAGAACCUCUUCAGUUCAAAUGGCAUUAUUCUUUAACCCUAGAAUCUAUAGAGAGUGUGUUUAAGAUCUCACUCUAAUAUGUGACCACCAAUAUUUUUAGAAAAAUCUUCUAGAUUUUGUUAAACCCUAAAACCAAAGCAUUUUAUAUUAUUAUGAAGACCUGGUUACAUUAUUUAUUUGUUGCUCUGUCCACUAAAGCUUAAAUUGUAUUUACCACAGGCUCAUUUGCACAGUCCUAUUAUAUAGCAGUAAUAUCUUUAGGAUCAUAAUGAGGCAGAAAACUGAUUAUGACCCUUGUGCUACUGGGUGGGAGUUGAGAUCAGAAAAACUGGUGUGUAAAUGCAAAGCAAGUGUCCCUUCCUAAAAUGUCUAAAUCACAUAAUAUUAGUGUAACAUAAUUUGGAAUAUAUUAUGAUGGUUGCAAUUACUAAAAAGUGCAUGGUUACAUUAUUUCCAACUGGAAAUUAGAUGAUUAUACUAAUUAAGUGAUAGCAGGUGGCACAGGAUGACUGUUACAAUCCUCUCUGAUCUGCAAAGGAUGCAAGGUUCAGUGUCUAAAACACCCAGGAGAAGUAACAAUUGGCUUAAGCACUAUUUGGUCCCAAGGUGCAGAAGAGGGAUUCACUUUGAUUUAACACUUCCUUAUCACAUCAAAGAGGUGAAAAAGGCAUCUUUAUGGAUUGGUCUGGAAAAAAAUUCCACUGCUUCAGCUUUUAGCCUAGCAGCUAAAGUCUUUGAGUAUAUUAGAACUACAAUAUGAAAUAACUACAAAUAGAAUAAUAUAAUGCUAGAAUUGAAAUGAAAAAUCUUUUGAUAACAAGUGGCCUAAAUUUCAUACUAUUGCUUUCAAUUUGUUAAAUUCUGAAAUAGUUAAUAUUGUAUUAAUAUGAGGCUGAUGAUUAAAUUCAAAAAGCUCAAGUAACAAAUGCUUUACACUAUCAUAUGAGCAUUGUAUGCUCUUACGAAUGUAUCUGGUCAUUAAAUAAAUUUAAGUUUUAGUUGCUCUUAA